rnacentral:rRNA from 1 species
UACGUAGGGUGCGAGCGUUGUCCGGAAUUAUUGGGCGUAAAGAGCUUGUAGGCGGUCUGUCGCGUCGGCCGUGAAAACCUGCAGCUUAACUGUGGGCUUGCGGUCGAUACGGGCAUCACUGGAGUUCGGCAGGGGAGACUGGAAGUUCCCGGUGUAGCGGUGAAAUGCGUAGAUAUCGAGAGGAACACCUGCGGCGAAGGCGGGUAGCUGGGCCGACACUGACGCUGAUGCGCGAAAGCCAGGGGAGCGAACGGG